rnacentral:SRP_RNA from 1 species
CCGUGCUACACGGGGAGCUAGCGGUGCCCUGAACCCGCAACCCGCUAUAGCGGGGUGGAAUUCCCUCCCCAGGUCUGUGUCCAAGACCUCUAUCCUCACGGGCGGAUGCGGAGAGCUGGGUCCUGGGCGGCGGAGGCCCGUGAACCCCGUCAGGUCCGGAAGGAAGCAGCGGUAAGCGGAGUCCUCUGGGUGCUCCAGGGAGUCCUGGCUUGAGUCCCCCGCGGGGACACGCCUUGGAUUCCGGAUCGAAGGAGGGUGCACGG